UACGGGGGGGGCAAGCGUUGUUCGGAAUUACUGGGCGUAAAGCGCACGCAGGUGGCUGAGUCAGUCGAUUGUGAAAGCCCUGGGCUUAACCUGGGAAUUGCAGUCGAUACUACUCAGCUAGAGUAUGGGAGAGGUAGUGGAAUUUCCGGUGUAGCGGUGAAAUGCGUAGAUAUCGGAAGGAACACCAGUGGCGAAGGCGGCUUCCUGGACUAAUACUGACGCUGAGGUGCGAAAGCGUGGGGAGCAAACAGGG
rnacentral:rRNA from 1 species